rnacentral:piRNA from 1 species
UCCAACCAGAGUCUGUGCAGCGUGGGUC